rfam:Hymenolepis microstoma genomic scaffold, pathogens_HYM_contig_0011
GGGGUGCGCAAUAGACUUACACCUUCACGUGGUGCGCCCCGGGCAACGUAUACUCAUACGGCAAAAAAGUCUAC